CGAUAGAACGCGUCGAAAACUCACGCACGUCAGUGACGCGAGUACGCGAACACGCGAGUA
rnacentral:tRNA from 1 species